GUAGUCAUAUGCUUGUCUCAAAGCUUAAGCCAUGCAUGUCUAAGUUCAAGCGAAAAUAACGUGAAACCGCGAAUGGCUCAUUAAGUCAGUUAUGGUUCCUUAGAUCGUACUUACUACUUGGAUAACUGUGGUAAUUCUAGAGCUAAUACAUGCAAAGAGCUCCGACCCUCGUGGAAGGAGUGCUUUUAUUAGAUCAAAGCCAAUCGGAUCUUCGGGUCCGUUCUGUUAGCGACUCUGUAUAACUUUGCUGAUCGCAUGGUCUCGUACCGGCGACGUAUCUUUCAAGUGUCUGCCUUAUCAACUGUCGAUGGUAGGUUAUGCGCCUACCAUGGUUGCAACGGGUAACGGGGAAU
rnacentral:rRNA from 1 species